rnacentral:misc_RNA from 1 species
CCCCAAUCCGACAUUUUCCUCCAACUGGGUGUUUGUCUUUUCUUUGUUUUUUAUUUAAAGAAGCGAGAAGAUGAUAGGGAACAAGAGGAGUGGAGAUGGGUUUUUAUAGAGAGGGGGGGAAAAGGAGAUGAUUAGAGAGUGGUAGUGGUGGCGUGGGGCGGAGGUUGGAAGAUGAAGUCACUGGGGAUUCUGUCCCCGCCGUCCUGCCCAUUUGUGAUUCUCAUUUCU